UCGGGAAUUUUGGGCAAUGGGGGAAACCCUGACCCAGCAACGCCGCGUGAGGGAUGAAGGCCUUCGGGUCGUAAACCUCUGUCGAGAGGGAAGAAGGGCGGUCGGCCCAAUACGCCGGCCGUUUGACGGUACCUCCAAAGGAAGCACCGGCUAACUCCGUGCCAGCAGCCGCGGUAAUACGGAGGGUGCGAGCGUUGUUCGGAAUUACUGGGCGUAAAGCGCGUGUAGGCGGCUUGGCAAGUCGGAUGUGAAAGCCCGAGGCUCAACCUCGGAACUGCAUUCGAAACUGCCUCGCUCGAGUCCCGGAGAGGAUGGUGGAAUUCCCAGUGUAGAGGUGAAAUUCGUAGAUAUUGGGAGGAACACCAGUGGCGAAGGCGACCAUCUGGACGGUGACUGACGCUGAGACGCGAAAGCGUGGGGAGCAAACAGGAUUAGAUACCCCCGUAGUCC
rnacentral:rRNA from 1 species